AUGUGGCAGCCAUUUUAAGGCAAGGAUAAUCUAACCAGUUCCAGGCUCCCCACCCUAGCAACGUCUACAAGUCUCCAGCCACUGCCCCAAACCGGCAGUCACCUGGAUCCCGGAAAAGCGGGGCCUUGCAGACCACUCCUCAGUGAGGUCACUCCCCAGAAGCACAUCUGCUGGCAAUGAAGCCUUCGCUCAGUGAGCCUGUUGGGGGUGUUUUGGAUCCUGGCCAUCAAACUGCUUCCCUUCCUCACCCAAGCCGGUAUUCAGGCUUCCUAGACACAGAACCCCAGGCGGAGCCCAGGCUCUGAGCAAGCUGCUUCCGCUCAGGCCUCAGUUUCUGCAUGCGGAAGGACAGCAGUGCCUGGCUUCUCCAAAUUAUCUCUGGGAUCCACCAUGGCUCUGGGGGAACCUGAUUCAGCAGGCCCUUUGGAAUCCUCUGCAUGGUCACGCAGCACGACCUGCAGCGGACUGUGUGAGCCGCCCACCCAGACCCAGGACUUCCAGCCAGGAUUGCACACACCAUGGAGCUCCAAUGAGCUCUAGACAGUUCGCAAAAUUAUAUCAUGUCUGACUCAUUCUGAUUUCUCAGAGUGGGUGCACUGUGGGUUAAAAACAGGACCAAUGUGAGAACCAGGAUCCCAGCAGCCAUGGCUUG